UACAAAAGUGAACAAAAGUGAAUUGUCGUCUGCUAAGGAGUAUCAACGUUUCUUCGUCUGUUCCUUGCUCUAUGGUCUCAGAAUCCUUAUGCCUUUUGGUUCUCGUACAAAAAGUUCUUGGAAUGAACACUGGGGACUGUAUGGCUACUCAUAAUCAACCGUUCUCCAUAAAGGAUUAUCAGCUUUUACCUGAAAGUCAACCUCCUAAAUAAUGCUGAACACUCAACAUGAUGACAAGCCUUGGUAUGAAAUAUGAGCCAGCUUGACAGACGAGAGCCUGUGAGAUGCUGCCUCAUCAUGAUCUCAAGUACGUCAUCUUCUCAGCGUCUCAAGCUAAUUCAGUUCAACUUUGUGAUUCAUUCAAUACUAUGUUCAGGUACGUCUCACGUAGUGAGUUUUAGUUAUUGUAAAAAGAUCUGUUUACUUUGACUUUUAAAAAACCCACUCAGACAUCAGUCUUUACUGUUUAAAACUUGAUAAACAAAGCUGUUGUUUAUGUCAAAAGCUAUGAAUUGAGUUCAAAGCAAAGGUGUACUGCGUAAACAGAUCUUUACCAUGUACAGCCCUAUGUGGCUGUUUUUGUUAAGAAGCAAAAAUUUUGCUGAAUAUUGUUGUUUACUUUUUGUAAUUCCUUUGAAUCAUCAGGCCUGAUACUUUGCGGAGACAAAUUAUGCAGCAAUUGCCUCCAUGCACACGGUCUUCGUCAUUGCCUCAGUGCCCAAAAUGCUGUGUCAGUUCUAGUUCAAAUUUCCCUCAUACUCUUGCGUUUUACUGAGGAAAAGCUGCCUUGCCCUUAAAAGCAUCAGGCCUGAAUCAUGGUUUAUGAAAUUCAGAAAUCAUAGGGCUACUAGCUUUGACUAAACACUUUUUAAUGAAUACAAAGCAAUGAAGUAAAAAGUCAUGCAACCUCGUUUAUGCAAAAUUAAACACAGGUCAGACAGAGUCAAAACACGUUUUCAAUACUUAGUUUGGUUUUUAUAUGUGUAAAUUUGAUGUGUUUGUAUGACACAUGAUGAUAUUUAUCUGCAAAACAUUGUACAAACCAAGCAGGGCCUUUAGUUUUAAACAGAGUGCGUAUAUAUGGAAACUUAGAGUGAACAUCUGCAUUUCUAUAAAGUUUUAUGCUUAGUACUGAAAACACAGUAUUGUAUCUUUCCACCAUUUUAUCUUGAAAAGUAGAUUCCACUUAUCCAUGAGAACUCCAAAAUACAGAGUUGUCUAAUUUUGUAUAUUUCUUUGAUGUAUUUAACUUGGAAACUUGGCAAUGCAGAUGGUCUUUCUAAGCUUCCAUACAAGUUUUGGCCACAACUUUUGAUGUCUGGCAUCCUGUCUCUUAUUAAUUAUACAAUAGUAUUCUCAAUGUCGGUACCAGACUAAUUUCUUCACACACUUGUUUGUUUACACUACUGAGCCGAUAAGUUAUUAAGGUUUUAUUUGCAAAAUGGCCCUUUUUAAACAAGCUUAUUUAAUACAACAGCUGUGUAAUUCACAGUUAAGUAGAUCAUACUAUCUGUAACACUUAAAAAUAAGAAGUUUGAAGGUUAGAAGUCAUUACACGAACGUGUGAUCUGUGCAACUCAAUUUUUUUAGCACAACUAUUUGCGCUAAGUGCCGUUUUAGAGUCAUUAUGAGCAAUUAAAUAUUAAAAUCAGACACUUUCCUGUGAAUAAAAUUGUCCCCUGAAUGCAUAUUUCAUGUAGAAUGUUAAUAGGACACUCUGGAGUGUAUUCCGCACUGUUUAAGGAGGUGUUAUGAAGGUUUUAACUGUCAAUUUCAGUCAUUUUCAGUGUUUUUUUAGGGGAAAAAAAUUUGAUUACCAAAAAAAUUAACGAGCAUGCGUUUCGGGCGAUUUUAAGAAAAUGAAAUGAAAAAAAGAAAAAA